GCAGAAGGAUCAUUAGUGAAGAUUUGGGCAGGCCAUACGGACGCCAAAAAGUGUCCCUGGCCGCCUACACCCACUAUACAUCCACAAACCCGUGUGCACUGUCUUGGAGAAAGGCUUCAGAGAAGUUUUUUGCGGCCUCUCUUGGGGUCUUUCUUCGCUACAAACUCGAAUGGUUAGUAUGAACGUGGAACUUGGUUGGACCGCCACUGGCCAACAAAAUAUACACAACUUUCGACAACGGAUCUCUUGGUUCUCCCA
rnacentral:misc_RNA from 1 species